GUAAACUGAAACAUGGUUGGUGGUAAUUCUUACCAGAUGAGCUAAAGCAUUGACGUUUUCAGGGAGAGACUUGAGCAAUUUCUGCUUGGUAGGCUCAUACACACCAACGAAAACGGCAGUGGCACUGUAGACGAGUUUUUAUUGUAUCAAUUGGAUAUAGAGCAGCUUCUACAACGAGGCUAGCAGCACCUCCAGCUAUAGCACCUUCAUAUAAGGUACGCACAAAAUCAAAA
rnacentral:misc_RNA from 1 species